rnacentral:lncRNA from 1 species
UAUAAGCAAACAUGCAAUGUCCUUAUGCAGAAAACGUGAGUAUACCCCUUCCUUUACAAUGGCUGAACUUAGAUUCAGCUGCACCAAAAAAGGUGCAUUAAGGAAGUCAUUAGAGAGUACCUUGGGAGGGUCCAGCCUUCCAUAAAGAUUAUAAACUUGGUUUUAACCAUAUGGCUGUGUGGUUACACAUCAUGCCAAGAUCAAAAGACCUCCGAGGCCCUCAGAAGAAACAUUAUUGAUGCCCAUGAGUCUGGGAGGGGUCACAUAUCCAUUUCCACACAUCAUUCCACUGUCUGACGGAUCAUCCACAAAUGGAGAACAUUCCAGACCACUGGCAACCUACAUAGGACAGGUCUUCCCACCAAAUUUAACCCAAGAGCUGACCGAAAGAAAGAAUAUCAAGACACCACUGACAUUUGCCAGACAACACCUGGGUAAAGACCACAACUACUAGAACAAUGUGCUCUGGACAGAUGAGUCAACGGUGAAGUUGUUGGGCGCAAUGCCAGACGCCACAUUUAAUGAAAACAAAACACUGCCUUUGAACAGAAUAACCUCAUACCAACAAUAAAGCAUGGAGGCGGUGGCAUUAUGGUUUGGGGCUGCUUUGCUGCCUCAGGGCCUGGCCAACGUGCCAUCAUUGAAUCAACCAUGAAUUCCAUAUUGUACCAGAGAAUUCUUGAGGAGAAUGUGAGGCCACCUGUAAAGAAGCUGAAGCUGAAUCGAACAUGGAUCUUCCAACAGGACAAUGAAGCAAAGCUACAACAGAAUGGCAAAAAAAUAAGAAAUGGAGGGUUAUGGAAUGGCCGAGUCAAAGCCCAGAUCUCAGUCCUGUAGAAAUGGAGGGUUAUGGAAUGGUCGAGUCAAAGCCCAGGUCUCAUUCCUGUAGAAAUGGAGGGUUAUGGAAUGGCCGAGUCAAAGCCCAGAUCUCAUUCCUGUAGAAAUGGAGGGUUAUGGAAUGGCCGAGUCAAAGCCCAG